rnacentral:rRNA from 1 species
UGAGCAAUCUGCCCUUCUCAUCGGAAUAAGCGUUGGAAACGACGUCUAAUGCCGAAUACGACCUCCUUUCGCAUGAUCGGAGGUGGAAAGCUCCGGCGAGAGGAGGA